rnacentral:rRNA from 1 species
AGAGUUUGAUCAUGGCUCAGAGCGAACGCUGGCGGCAUGCUUAACACAUGCAAGUCGCACGGAUUGGGGGUAACUCCGGUCAGUGGCGGACGGGUGAGUAACGCGUAGGUAUCUAUCUCCGGGUGGGGGACAACCGUGGGAAACUACGGCUAAUACCGCAUGAAGCCCGAGGGCCAAAGCAGCGAUGCGCCUGGAGAGGAGCCUGCGUACGAUUAGCUUGUUGGCGGGGUAAUGGCCCACCAAGGCGACGAUCGUUAGCUGGUCUGAGAGGAUGAUCAGCCACACUGGGACUGAGACACGGCCCAGACUCCUACGGGAGGCAGCAGUGGGGAAUAUUGGACAAUGGGCGCAAGCCUGAUCCAGCAAUGCCGCGUGAGUGAAGAAGGUCUUCGGAUUGUAAAGCUCUUUCGACGGGGACGAUGAUGACGGUACCCGUAGAAGAAGCCCCGGCUAACUUCGUGCCAGCAGCCGCGGUAAUACGAAGGGGGCUAGCGUUGCUCGGAAUGACUGGGCGUAAAGGGCGCGUAGGCGGUGUACACAGUCAGGCGUGAAAUUCCCGGGCUCAACCUGGGGGCUGCGCUUGAUACAUGUGCGCUUGAGUUCGGAAGAGGGUCGUGGAAUUCCCAGUGUAGAGGUGAAAUUCGUAGAUAUUGGGAAGAACACCGGUGGCGAAGGCGGCGACCUGGUCCGAUACUGACGCUGAGGCGCGAAAGCGUGGGGAGCAAACAGGAUUAGAUACCCUAGUAGUCC